CCUGCUUCACGGUUCAUCAGGAGAAAUCAUCCUGACUCAGACUCCAGGAUCUCAGGCUGUUGUUCCAGGACAGACUGUCUCCAUCAAAUUUUCUGAUCGUUUCAGUGGAAGUCAGUCUGGAACUGAUUUCACUCUGACCAUCAGCAGAGUUCAGGCUGAAGAUGCAGGAGUUUAUCA